rnacentral:rRNA from 1 species
GACGAACGCUGGCGGCGUACUUAACACAUGCAAGUCGAACGGAAAGGCCCUGCUUUUGUGGGGUGCUCGAGUGGCGAACGGGUGAGUAACACGUGAGUAACCUGCCCUUGACUUUGGGAUAACUUCAGGAAACUGGGGCUAAUACCGGAUAGGAGCUCCUGCUGCAUGGUGGGGGUUGGAAAGUUUCGGCGGUUGGGGAUGGACUCGCGGCUUAUCAGCUUGUUGGUGGGGUAGUGGCUUACCAAGGCUUUGACGGGUAGCCGGCCUGAGAGGGUGACCGGCCACAUUGGGACUGAGAUACGGCCCAGACUCCUACGGGAGGCAGCAGUGGGGAAUAUUGCACAAGGGGCGGAAGCCUGAGGCAGCAACGCCGCGUGCGGGAUGACGGCCUUCGGGUUGUAAACCGCUUUCGCCUGUGACGAAGCGUGAGUGACGGUAAUGGGUAAAGAAGCACCGGCGAACUACGU